AGGCGCCGCUCCCGCCCCGCCCCGCCCCGGCGCGCCGCGUAUUUAGCGGGGUCCCGGCGGGAAUCGGCCUUUCCCUUUCCAGCGGGGACGGCACUGGAGCGGCCGCGCCUGCCCGCCUGUGUUCGGGGCAAAAAGUGAAGGUCAAGAUGAGUUUGUUGCUGGCUUUGGGAAUCCCCAGUCUGGACUCUGCCAUGCCUUGCAAGCAGAAAGAUGCCACGUGAAUUCUUGGGCUACAGAAGUUCUGUGACAUCAGAUGAUCACCUCCACUGUCUUCCAGCAUUGUGCCAGCAGGAGAGCCCACCCACUUGUGGAAGUGUGGGUGUUUAAGGAGCUUGAAAACAGCAGCCUGGAAGGUGGAGUUCUAAUGCACUUGGAAAUGCUUCCAUUGCCCUUCCUGCUCGUCAGAAAUCCUGCUUGGUUCCACAGUACGGCGGGGAGUAGCUGUUCGCUGAAAAUUAAUAAUCCUGGAAUGAAGUUUGGGGCAGAGUGUCACUCUAGAAAGAGAAGCGGCCUUCUGGGCAGUCUGAAGACUUAGUAUCAAUUUUUGAGUGUAUCAAAUAAAUGGAUCAAAAGUGAAUAAGGCA
rnacentral:lncRNA from 1 species